UCUUAGUGGCGGACGGGUGAGUAACGCGUGGGUAACCUGCCCCAUACCGGGGGAUACCACCUGGAAACAGGUGCUAAUACCGCAUAAGCGCACGGGAGCGCAUGCUCCUGUGUGAAAAACUCCGGUGGUAUGGGAUGGACCCGCGUCUGAUUAGCCAGUCGGCAGGGUAACGGCCUACCAAAGCGACGAUCAGUAGCCGGCCUGAGAGGGUGGACGGCCACAUUGGGACUGAGACACGGCCCAAACUCCUACGGGAGGCAGCAG
rnacentral:rRNA from 1 species